GGGUCUGUAGCUCAUCUGGGAGAGCGCCUGAUUUGCAUUCAGGAGGUAGAGAGUUCGAUCCUCUUCAGAUCCACCA
rnacentral:tRNA from 1 species